UGGGGAAUUUUGGACAAUGGGCGAAAGCCUGAUCCAGCAAUGCCGCGUGUGAAGAAGGCCUUCGGGUUGUAAAGCACUUUUGUCCGGAAAGAAAUCCUUGGCUCUAAUACAGUCGGGGGAUGACGGUACCGGAAGAAUAAGCACCGGCUAACUACGUGCCAGCAGCCGCGGUAAUACGUAGGGUGCAAGCGUUAAUCGGAAUUACUGGGCGUAAAGCGUGCGCAGGCGGUUUGCUAAGACCGAUGUGAAAUCCCCGGGCUCAACCUGGGAACUACAUUGGUGACUGGCAGGCUAGAGUAUGGCAGAGGGGGGUAGAAUUCCACGUGUAGCAGUGAAAUGCGUAGAGAUGUGGAGGAAUACCGAUGGCGAAGGCAGCCCCCUGGGCCAAUACUGACGCUCAUGCACGAAAGCGUGGGGAGCAAACAGGAUUAGAUACCCUGGUAGUCCACGCCCUAAACGAUGUCAACUAGUUGUUGGGGAUUCAUUUCCUUAGUAACGUAGCUAACGCGUGAAGUUGACCGCCUGGGGAGUACGGUCGCAAGAUUAAAACUCAAAUGAAUUGACGGGGUCAUA
rnacentral:rRNA from 1 species